ensembl:lncRNA
CGCGCUGUCACGCAGAGCCCGCCGCGCCGCGCCGCGCGGGUCCCCGCCCCGCCGUCAGCUGUCAGCGCUCCCCGCCGCCAUCCGUCAGUGGCUUGUCAGCCCUGCCAAUCCGCCCUGAUUUAUGUCAGCUUUUGUUGCUGAUUACAAGCCUGGCAAAACGUGUUAAUCAAUCUUUUACUUUUGUUUCCGGAUCUGACAUGGUGGCCCACACAAUCUACAACAUUAACAAAAAGGUCACUUAGAGAUAAAACACGUUUGACAAGUGAAGAACAAGCGCGGAACGUGUCGCCGGAACGUGUCGGUGCAGGGCAGAGCCGGGCUUCCGUGUCGCCGUGCCCGCUGUGUUCUUCCGAGGCCGUGACAGUGAAAGGAUCGGGGGGCAGAGGGAGAAGCAUCGCACAAAAGCUGCCGCCGCUGCAGCGGGACUGACAACCCGCACCGUGCCCGUAAGGAACUCCCCCUUCCUUCAUACAGAGUGGAAGUGACUUGAAUCUGCCCCAGGUUUUCCCCCCGUUCUUUCUUUUGUUGUCAAGUCCAAUUGAUAAAUGGAGUGCAGUAAAACUCUGGAAGAAAAAAAAAAAAAAGAGGGGAAAAAAAAAAAAAAAGCUGAAACCUUCAUUUGUGUUCAUUUGCAUUAAAGUGCUUGGAACAGCUGUUUUCCUUACAGGACCAGAGAGACUCCUAUCUGUUUUCUCGUUGUAUUUAUCCUGCCUCCCAGGGUGAAAGCCUAAAGAUUAAUUCUCCUAAGGCAGAGUCAGCUGCGGGCAGCCCCCCCUCCCCUCUCCCCUUCCCUCCCGGCCCGGCGGAGGUGCGGGGACUUCGGGAGGGCCCUCGGACUCGGGGUAGCGAAGCGAGGGCGAUGCCCGCUCCGUACGCACGGCACCGCGCACCGAGGGGAGCGGGGACGGGCGGGGAGCAGCGCGAACCCCGAGCUCUCUGGCUGAGGUAGAAGCGUCGGAGGGUAAUUUAAUUAGCAACUUCAGAGGACAGCUUUUUUUUUUUUCUUUUCUUUUCUUUUCUUUUUUUUUUCCGCCGAGCCUUUGAAAUGAGGGUUAAAUCACACUCAGCACUGUAAACUUUUUACGUAGAAGGUUGUAAAAAUUAAAAAAAAAAUGAAAAUAAAAAAUCAAAAACCAAACAAAUGCCGAGCCAUC